GACGAACCGUGCGAACGUUGUUCGGAAUCACUGGGCUUAAAGGCGCGUAGGCGGGCGGCCAAGUCAGGGGUGAAAUCCCGCAGCUCAACUGCGGAAGUGCCUUUGAUACUGGUGGUCUCGAGGGAGAUAGGGGCAUGCGGAACUUCCGGUGGAGCGGUGAAAUGCGUAGAUAUCGGAAGGAACGCCGAUGGCGAAAGCAGCGUGCUGGAUCUCUUCUGACGCUGAGGCGCGAAAGCUAGGGGAGCAAACGGG
rnacentral:rRNA from 1 species